rnacentral:rRNA from 1 species
GAAGAACCUUACCAGAUCUUGACAUCCUCUGACAAUCCAGGAAACUGGACGUUCCCUUCGGGGACAGAGUGACAGGUGGUGCAUGGUUGUCGUCAGCUCGUGUCGUGAGAUGUUGGGUUAAGUCCCGUAACGAGCGCAACCCUUAUUGUUAGUUGCCAGCAUUCAGUUGGGCACUCUAGCGAGACUGCCGGUGAUAAACCGGAGGAAGGUGGGGAUGACGUCAAAUCAUCAUGCCCCUUAUGAUCUGGGCUACACACGUGCUACAAUGGAUGGUACAACGAGUUGCGAGACCGCGAGGUUCAGCUAAUCUCCUAAAGCCAUUCUCAGUCCGGAUUGCAGGCUGCAACUCGCCUGCAUGAAGCCGGAAUCGCUAGUAAUCGCGGAUCAGAACGCCGCGGUGAAUACGUUCCCGGGUCUUGUACACACGC